CCGCCUUCUCCUUUUCGCAAUGUUGACGCAAUCUAUAAAUAGUGGAACAAAAGGACCAACUUCCUCGCAGCUUUGCUGAAACUGCACAAAAAAGGCAACCCGGGGGGGGCGACGGGGGGGACACACACACGCGGUUAUUUUUUGAUUUUAUUUUUCUCCGGUUAAAAGGCGAAUCCUCCUCCUUCUCCCUUCCUCCCUCUCUCCCCUUCCCCCCCUCGCUACUGGAAGAUCUUUUUUAUUUUCCCUUGCUGCCUUCUAUGCUGGCAACGUCCUGCGAGUGGCUAUUUCGCUUUUGCACCGAGAGAAGAGCUUCUCCCUUCGCCCUCUCUUUUGACACUUAUGGAUGAAAUCCACACUGAUGUCUAAGCUGUAAUGAGUGCCAAUGUUUUGACCUUUCAAUAGAGAGCUGAUUUUGGAGAACGGCUUACUCCUGUGAUUGAAAAACUCUCUGGAAGGUUGAUGGAGCAUGAGCAUGAUAGCCCUGUUCAUUCCCAGAAGUUGUCUGUCAAGACCUGACUAGAAGGCAUAUUGCAGUGGAGUGGUGUGCUUGGGUCCAUGCUGUGAGAAUCUUUCAUUGAGAUGAUUAAAAUUGCUGCAGUGAGAAUGGAAAUUACUUGGGCUUCUUUCCUUUUAAAAGCUGCAUGCAAGAACUGUGAAGUUUGCCUGUAUGGGUGGUGCUGGAGACUAUGGCUGGAUAGAACUUGCUUUGUGUUGCAGCUCUGGGAUUCUAUGGACUGUGCCUGAUCUGAGGAGAGCCUGGCUAUGUCUUCUUUACUCUCCAGUACCCACAGCAGCAGGCAUUUAGAAACAUUGCUGCAAUCGCACAAACACAAGCCUUUUCUUCUCCAGGCCGGAGUCUCAGAUCACUCAGCCUUUCUUCAUGUGAAAGAUUCUUCAGUUCUGUCAUCGUCUUUGUGGAAAUAAAUAAAAUGCUUAAUCUAAUAAGGGAAAUCAGAAUUCAAAGGAGGAAAUGGGGUUUUUUUUGGGGGGGGGAAAAACAAAGCACAAGCUAGUAACUGUAAAAAGAGCAAGAAGAUCACAAGAUGAAACAUUAAGAAGUUAGAUAACUCCUGCUUUAAGAUUCUGCAAUCUUCAUUUGCCCCCUUGUGUCAGUAUACUAUGAAGCAAUCUUUUUGAUCACACAGAAUGUUUAGUCUAUUGAUAGGUUCAGCCUGUUGUGGUGCUGGGACAGGGAAGAUGUUUGUAGGCUGUGCAAGAAGAAACCUGGUGUUGCUAUAGGUGCUGCAGAAAUUAGUAAAAAAUUCUGUAGGCAGUGGAACAAAUGGCUGCAAGUAGAGGAAGCCAUUUCUUCAUUGUUAUGCCAAGUGAGAAUUCCUAAGAAUUGGAUGUGAUGUUUAUUUUUCUGCCUUUAUUCUCAUGUGAUGCUGGACAAGUAACCACGCUGUUGUUUCUGUAGUGCAUGUAUUGUGCUUUACUUUAGAGUUGUCUGAUUUAAGACUCAUGUCUGAAAGAAACACUGGUGGUUCACAUUAGUAGCCAAGCUUCUUAGGGGUUGUCAUUUGAAUUAAAAUACUCUGUAAAAGUA